GGGCUUGUAGCUCAGUGGUAGAGCGUUCCUUUCGCGUUAACUAACAUAGGAAAUGUCGGGGUUUCGAUUACUCCCAAGUCCA